rnacentral:rRNA from 1 species
GUUCAGAUUGCAGGCUGCAACUCGCCUGUAUGAAGUUGGAAUUGCUAGUAAUCGCGGAUCAGCAUGCCGCGGUGAAUACGUUCCCGGGCCCUUGUACACACCGCCCGUCACACCAUGAGAGCCGGUAAUACCCGAAGUCAGUAUCCUAACCGCAAGGAGGGAGCUGCCGAAGGUAGGAUUGGCGAUUGGGGUGAAGUCGUAACAAGGUAUC